rnacentral:lncRNA from 1 species
CGUCGCCCGCCAGCCCCGGGACAGCCCGCCUGGCGCGCGGGGCUCUGCGCGCUGCGACCCUCCCCGGCAGUCCCGCCCGCCUCUCCUCGCCCUCUCUCUGCCUGGCCUCCAACUUUGCCUCUCGCUAUCCUCUCCGCCGGCGCCCCCUUUCCCGGCGGUCCCCGGGAUGGUCCCCGGCACCCCGAGGACGCCGAGGUUACGGGAAGUUCGGGGACUGGCGGGAGAAGGGGUUUGGGGGUGGUCCGCGGCGAGGGGCGCGGGGUGCAUCUUCUCUUCCUUUUAUGGGCUGCCACACUUGUGUAUCCCUUCUUCCUUGAAUUUAACCAGGAGUGAGCAGUGGACAGCUUCUUCCCUAUGAGAAGGAGGUGAAGCAGGACCUGAAAUCCCGUGCUCAGCUCCCACAUGCCCCGUGUCCAGGACAAGUCCUUUGCUGAAUCAGCGGCAGACACCACCCGGAGCCCUGCGGGAGCCUUUCCCUGUUCUUCCAGCAUGGAUCUGAAACUCCCUUCCCACUUUCUGCAGCCUCCCAGAGAUAGUUCAGGCUCCAGCCUCAUGUGAUAGCAUGAAGAGAAACUGGUUCCAACAGCUGUGUGCUCUGCUGCCCUCAUCCCAAACAACAGUUUAAAUGCACAAUUACGCUUUUCUCUAAGGCCCAAAAUAGGAUAGGAAAGAUCGUUUUGCUAUCCCUGAAUGCCUGUCACCCUUGUUUCGUAAGGAAGUCAGUCCCAGAAUAGUUGUUCUGCUCCCUCCCUUCUAAUAAGUGCUGCGCUGAGUGUGCUUGCUUUGCCAGAUGGUUAAAACAGAGCAGGGGAUAGAAGGACAGAUGUCUUCACCCUCAUGGAGUUCACCUUCCAGUAGGAGGAGGCGAUAGGCCGGGGUCUGCACAUGUGCGUGCUACAGCCUGUUCCACGUAGAGACAGGAUUUCACCAUGUUGGCUAGGAUGGUCUCGAUCUCCUGACCUUGUGAUCCGCCCCUCCCUCAGCCUCCCAAAGUGCUGGGAUUACAGGCGUGAGCCACUGCACCCUGCCAGAAAACUCAUUCUUCUACUCCAUCCUACAGUUUUCCCUAAGAGAGAAACAAUAAAACGCCACCACGACCAAUGGCAAAAAGCUGGCACCCACUCCACGACUUUUCAUAUCUACACGUUUGUACAGCUUUAUUUUUAAGCAUUCUGAAAUUCUAUGCAGGAGAGACCCCAGCUAGGUUUAGGGAGUCCUAGGGUUUGUGGAGUAAAUGAAGUUUCUCCCUAGAAUUAGGGAGGGUAGAGACAGGCAGAGAACUGACAAUCCUAACAGCUGCUGUCCUCAGAGCCACUGUUUCUGAGAGCUGCUCGCUGAGUGCUUCUAGCGAGUUAAAUGGUGUUCGCCCAAAAGACCUGUUCACGUCCUGAUCCUGGGAACCUGUGGCUGUGAUCUUAUUUGGAAAAAGCUCUACAUUACGUCUUUGCAGAAGUAAUCAUGUUAAGGAUCUUGAGAGGACGUGACCCUGAAUUAUCCGGCUGUGCUUGACAUCCAAUGACUGGUGAUGUUGUAAGAGAAAGACGGAGGGAGAUGUAAGAUAUGAGAGAAGGCCACGCCGAGACUGGAGUGAUGUGGCCGUGAGCCGAGGAAUGCCUGGAGCCACCAGAAGCUGGCAAAGGCAGAAGGAGCCUCCUCUGGACCCUGUGGUGGGUACGCAGCCUGGCAGAUAUAUUCAUUUUGGACUUCUGGCCUCCAGGGCUGUGAGAGAAUACAUUUCUGCAGUUUUAAGCCACGCAAUCUGUGUCCCUGGGAAGCCCAAAUAGGGCGAGACCUUUUGCCAAGUGGUCUCCAAGUGUCACGUCAUCGAAUCCUUCUCCCGGGCUUGUGCCAUAGUCUUUCCACUUUAGAGAGGAGGAAACGGAGGCUCUGGGGCACAAAGCCAGUCAGUGGCGGGGCCUGACUUUCAACCCAGCCUGCAUGGGGUCAGAGAACCCACUUUCCCCGUGGGGCCUGCGGCCUAUGCUAAGGAUGCUUGUUCAUCUCUCCUGGGCCCGGGAGUGGUUCUUCUGGCCUAGAAGGCAAGAGAAGCCAGUCUUUCGGUUUCAAGGUUUCCCAUUAGUGGAGUCAAGCAAAAAUGGUGUGUUGCGCUUCUUCCUGAGCUCAGCCUGGGAGCACGGCCUUAACAUGCUCAGUGGAUCCCAAGACGGCAGCAUGGCGGUGCCAGCCUGGCAGCCUUAGCUCCUUGCAGCUGUGCUUGUGAAGGGAGCAGUGAGUGGCUUCCCUCUGUGACCACCUUGGGUCCUAAGUUUCACUGGGGCUGGGAUCCAUGCGUCUUGCAAUUGGCUAGGAAUUUCCCGGGCUUUCCCUCCCUUCCCUGUUCAGGGCACUGGGUGUGAGGCAUUGCAUCCGUUCUUCUGCUCACCUGCUUCCCCCUAAGAGUGUGAGCUGUAUAAAGGCAGGAACCAAACAGGAGCCUCCACGUGUUCCCAGUUCAAGGGCAGUGUCCCUUGUGUGUUUCUUCAAUAAUUCAGUGGAUGACUUAUUCUGCACGGACACUGCACACACUCGGCCCUGCCGUCUCCGGAGCUGGGAGGUGUGGAGCUGGCUCCUGACCUAUUUACACACUGAGGAGGGAUGUGGAAAACAGGAGGAGUCCCAGGGCUCCAAUGCAAAGAGGAGCCUCUUCAUUCCCUCUGCCGUGGCCGUGCAAGGGACAGCGCCUUGUGGGAUUGUGUCCUCCACCCAAUUAUCCUUAGCAUUAGUUUGCUAAGGAUAAUGGCCUCCAGCUCCACCCAUGUCCCUGCAAAGGACAUGAUCUCAUUCCUUUCUGUGUCUGCAUAGUAUUCCAUGGUGUAUAUGUACCGCGUUUUCUUUAUCGAGUCUAUCAUUGAUGGGCGCUUCAGUUGAUUCCAUGUCUUUGCUACUGUGACUCGUGCUGCAAUGAGCAUUCGCGUGCAUGCCUUUAUGGUGGAAUUAUUUCUAUUCCUUUGGGUGCAUACCCAGUCAUGGGAUUGCUGGGUCAAAUGGCAUUUCUGCCUCUAGGUCUUUAAGGAAUUGCCACGCUGUCUUCCACAAUGCAAGCAAGACGUUAUUGAAAGUGUAAAGGGGGCUGCUAAUUACGCUGGGGCAGGCGGGGCAAACCAGGACCCUGCCAGGCGAGUCUAGGCCAUGGCCCCACACCAGAAGAUGAGGGCUGGAGACUCCUGGAGAGGAAUCUGAGUGGCGAGACCACCUGCAUUCAUUAUGUGUCAACUCUGCCAGGUGACAGUCCCCAGUGAGCCCAUCAAACAUGAACCUAGGUGCUGUUGGGAAGGUCUUUGGAUGCCAUUAACAUCUACAAUCAGUUGGUUUUCAGUAGAGGAGAUUAUCCUCAAGAAUGUGGGCGGGCCUCAUCCAGUGAGCUGAAAGGCCUUGAGAGCAGAACUAGGAUUUUGGAGGAGGAUGAAGUGUUGCCUCCGGACCGCAGCGUCACCUCUUGCCUGGGAAUUUCCAGCUUCCUUUUCAGACUUCGGACUUGCCUCCAAGCUCCCUGAAUCUUUUCAUAUAUUUAUGUCCUAUUGCAGAUUGUGUUUCUCUGGCUGGACUGUAACUGAUGAGGAGGACUGAAAUUCCAGGCUUGGUUGUAUAGCAUAUAAGUGAGGUCAUUUGGGUCUGGGGAGCUGGGGGGGGGGUCCUUCAGCUGCAUGAGUGUGACCUGCACCAAGGUGCCUGGCUACCUGGGGCGAGGGGGCUGCCAUCUAGCCCACACCCCACUCCUAGGCCGUGCACCCUGGCAUGGGUCUAUGUCUGGCUCAAGGAAGGGUUCCCUCCUCCCUCCAAUGUGCACAGAGACCUUGAGAUCCCAUCCACCUAACCCUGUGCCCUCAGAAGCCUCCUCUGAGAGGGGGCACCUUUUCCUAAUUCUCACAAAGGCUAGUGGCUACCUUGUAGAUAGCCUUGGAUGUGUUAGGACACUUUUCUGAACAUCAGUUCCUUAUCUGUAAGAUGGGAGUUGUGUCCUCAAUGGGUAAUUAGAGAUUAUUCAUGGGAAAUCCUAUCACGGUAUCUACCACGGGGAGACUCACAAGUGCUGAUCUUUGCUGGUGUUGCUGCAUUUGUUAUUGAAUGCAUUCGUUAGGAGUCUUGUUAGUAAGUGACAAAAAUCCAACUCAAAUUGGCUUACACUAAACAAGUUUCCUGCAUCUGGGAGUAUAAAGGGUGACGCUUUGGCAGAGGCUGGCUCUGGAAAACGAGGACGCACAUUUGUGCCCCCACUUUCCUCUGUGCGGCGUCCUUCUCUUCAAGGCUUCCCCCAGUUUGGCAAACACGGCCCCAGCAAUGUCAAGCUGAGAGCACCUUUUAAGAAAGACCCUUCCUUCCAUGUGUUUUGGCAAAAGUCCCAUGAAGCAGUAUGAGUGGCCCGGUUUGGGUCAUGGGCUCACCCCUAAACCAGCCGCUCUGGAUGGAUUAGUUCCAAUUGGACAGGCCAUGGUCUUGGACUCUUUGGGUGAGUGUGGGAGGGUGUGGGAGGGAAGAUUCAUUGAACCUCAUCUCUACUACAUGGUACAGCUCCCUGGAAGAAAGAGGGGCUCCAUUACCAGAAGGAAACAAGGAAUUUUAUGGGGAACCACAUUAUCACUACCACAAUCUACCAUGCUAUACAUAAGAAAUGCACCUUGGUCUUAAUGCACGGUCUUGAGGGGGUGCAAGCUGAAUCCAAUUCCCAGCGUCUGGGUCAGUGUCCCUCAUGGGGGAGCUGCCUCACUUAAGAUUCCUUUGGAUAGGUAAGGUAGAACACCAAGCUGCGCGGGAUUAUGAAAAGAAAGGGAGAAAUUCACUGGCUCGCAGAAUUGAAAAGCUGAGAUCCAGCUGUACUUUUAAGCCUGAGCCAUUCUCCAGCUCCUGGCCCUGCCUCUCGCUGUCUUGGCUUCACCCUUCACAGACUGCCCUGCAAGGACCGAGGUGGAGUCUCAUUGGACUGGCUCAGGUCGUGUGCCUAGUUCUGAACCAUCCACUGUUUCCAGAGGGAUGGGGUAUCCUGAUUAGCCAGGAAGAAGUCAGACGUCUCUGAGCUAACUUUACUGAGAAUUGGGUAGAGGAGGUCCCCCAAAAGUAAAGUUGGGCACUGCAGUUCAGGAGAAGGGUGAUCACUGGUUGCUAAGCAACCAUAAAGUAGCCAGCAUCUCCUGUGGGUUGGGGUUUGCGCCUGUGAAUGGACAAGUGGCACUCGGAAAUUAAAUGCAGUGCAUCCAGUGCUCAAGCUCCUGGGCUUCGUCUGCUCCACACUUUUUCCUCUGCCCUUUGGGCUAAAGCCGUUGGGUUUGGGACAAGAGAAGGGGAGAGCUGGUACCUCUUCCCUUUUUUGCCCAGGAAAGUUGUUUCUCCAUCAUUUCAUGGCUCAAAGUCAUUAAAUCUGAGUAAUUCUUACAAACCAGAUCCAGGAAGAAUCUAGGAGUGGGCUCUCUGUAGAUUAGAAUGCUUCAGGCUGCAGGUAACAGAAGACUUGACUGGAAAUGCCUUCAACAGAGAAGGGAUGUAUCAUUUUCUAGAAGGAGAAAUUCUGCAGCUGGGACGGUUCCAGGGUUGGUUUCUUUGGAAACUCAGAACUUCAUCGAGGCUCUGGAUUCAUUUCUUCUUUCUGCUGUGCCAUUUCCAGCCUGUUGACUUGGCCUGGGCCAGCUGUCCUCUCACGCUCAUGAUUGCUGCCUCUGCUCCUGCCAUCACAUACACAAGCAGUGCCUGUUCAGUGGAACAAAAGGAAAUCAAAAAGAGGAAUCACAUUGUCCUGUGUCUCUACAAUGUUUUUUUUUUUUUAAAUCAUGAAAACCGUUCCCAGAAACCCCACAACAGACUUUCUGUUUCAUCUCAUUGGCCAGAACAGUAUCACAGGAGACUACUGGGAUUGGCAUAGACUAGCUAGGAUGCACCCUUAGAGCCCGUGGAGGACGGCAGACAUCUGAGCAGAGCUGGGCCUCAGCGGGCAGGGGAUGACAGGGACUGGCAGGCAUCCUUUUGGUCACUCAGAGGACUUCCUUCAAUCCACCCAGGGCUGGUUGGCAUCAUAAACUCAGGAUGGCAGCACUUGGAUGGCUGUGGUUGCUUUGUCUCCAGUGAGUGCCCCAGGAAACCAUCUCUUCUGGUCGCCACACGGCUAUUUGGUGAGCUGCUUGCUGGGGUGAGCUGCUGCUGAAUGGGUGUGGUUGAAACUGGAAGGGUGAGGUCCCAAAGCCACUGUCUGCCCCUGGGUGACUGCAACAGGUAGCCCCCCCACCAACUUCCAGGCAAAUCCGUGGGAAAUGGAACAAGGUAUCAAGGGGAACAGGGGAGUCAGGCCACCAGGGCCCCACUGAGGAAGGCACCUGUUGCACCAUAUUUUGACGUCUUGAAUGUGUAUCCACUGGCCCAGGGAGUGGCUUAAUUACCAGUGUAAUAGCAGGUCCACUUACAGCUUCAGGUUUCGUAGAGGAAAAAGCAUCAUUGCAAAAUGCUUUUGAUGUGGUUAAGCGGUGAGGCCACAGUGAAUUUUAAGUGCUUGGUAAAGCGCAUGGAAAAAGAAAAGCACAAGUCAUACUUGGUAAAGGACAUUUCCCUUCCUAGAUGCCAGGUGUGAAAGGAUGCCAGGAAUAUUCUCUGCUCUUUCCUCCUGCUUCCUGAAGGACUGAGUCCACACUAACUAUUAUCAAACAAACAAACUUCCAGGGGAAAAGACUGCAGAACCUAUACAUUCUUUAUAAUUGGAAUCACAGCUAUACAUUCUUUAUAAUCAGAAUAACAGCUCUACAUUCUUUAUCAUCGCAGCUAUACGUUCUUUAUAAUCAGAAAGUGCUUUCUGGCCAGGCACGGUGGCUCAUGCCUGUAAUCCCAGAACUUUGGGAGGCCAAGCCAGGUGGAUCACCA